CCAUAGGUUUUGGGGGUGAAUCCCCGGGGUAUUGGGGCAAACCCCAUAGGUUUUGGGGCCAAUCCUGGGGUUUUGGGGCCAAUCCCCAGGGUUUUGGGGUUAAGCCUGGGUUUUGGGGCGAACCCCUGAGGUUUCGGGGUGAACCCACGGGGUUUUGGGGCCAAUGCCGGGGUUUUGGGGCGACCCCCCGGGGUUCGGGGCCCCCCCGCGGCGCAGGGAGGGGGGGGGACAAAGACCACGGCGGAUUUUAUUCUUAAGAAAGAGCUACAAAAGGUAGAAAACAGCUUCUGCGGGGGGAGGGGCGGCGCGGGGGGGCGGGGGGGGGGCGCCUCCCCC